rnacentral:snoRNA from 1 species
UUUUUAUGAUGAAUAAUAAUACCGCCCCAGUCGGAAUUAUAAUGAAGAUUGGAUUUUGUUACUGAU